GACUGAGAGGAUCUAGGAUAUCAAGUUCUUGCCACAUUUUUUUCAUCUAGCUAUAGUAAUCAUGGAGUGGGGUCCCAUUUUGUUUGGUAGACACUGUAGCUAUUUGGAGUUCAUAAUUCCUGGAAUCAUCUUGUGCCACUGAAAGCCAGGCUUGAACAAGACUGUCUUCUUGAACCCACAUUUCAUAUUCAUCUUCAUCAUCUUCUGACGGAGCCUUUUUCUUCCCCGUAAUAUAUCCAAGUUUCCCUCUCCCGGUAAUAUUCAGCUUUGCAUGUUUCGACCAAGAAAUGAAAUUUGUGCUGUCCAACUUAUCAGGAGUAAUCGGACCAUGGUCAUUUGAGUAGGAUCUUCCCAUAACUUGGAAUGAAGACUCAGCCUUUUUUGAAGAGUCAUUCUGAGAUGAUAAGUUGACUUGCUGUUCCACCAUUGUUCAGUUUGGUUUAGACGAGGUCUAAACCCAGCGACAAUCUCUGCUGUCGAUCUGUGUGGAGUAUAUGGUGGAGUCAAAGUCAGGUGAGUCAAGCUUGGGUUGACGACUUGAGAUCGGUGGCGGCGAGCUCGAUUGUCUGUCGUCGGAGUCUGGGUCUAAUGAAGUCGGCGGGUCUACGGUCUAUGGGUCGAAGGAAGCUUGCUUCUGCUUCUGAUCUGGAGGUCGUCUGAUCGGAGGAUGCUGACCGGAUUGUCGGCGUUGAGUUUGCAGGUUCCGUAAGCAGGCGAGUCAGUCUGAAGCCGAGAUGUGUCGUGGAUCGGGUCUGAAGCCUGAGGCGUGGACUGAUGCGCUGGUGCAGGCCGGACUCGAGGCGGCGAGGUCGACGUCGAAUCCGCAGAAAGCCGGAUGCAGGUGCUGGUCGAAGUCUGAUGCAGGUCGCGUGUCGUCGGUCCUGGUCCCUGUCGGCGUUGAGAUGGCCGGAGUCUGAGGAGCUGAAGGAGACGACGCUGAGGCUGGUGCUGCAGGCGGGUCGGGUCCGGGUCCGGGUCGGAUCUGGUCCAAGCUGGAGUCUUCGUGUUUCACCAGAUUACCUGCACUUACAAUGUCGUGAUAUCAGAAAUGAUUUUCCUAGUCAGCAAUAAACUCUACAAGUUUAGUAUGGGUAUAACUAUGGUAUUAAUAUGGGUAUGAAGAACUUCUAAGUUCUUAUGAUAUUUGGAAUUUCAGCAGCGGAAUUGGGUAUGGGAGUUUUAGGUCUCAAGAGCGUAUUGCUCUGAUACCAUGUUGAAUUA